GAUAUGGAUGGAAACCUAGUUUAUGAAGGUGAUAUGGAUGGAAACCUAGUUUAUGAAGGUGAUAUGGAUGGAAACCUAGUUUCUGAAGGUGAUAUGGAUGGAAACCUAGUUUAUGAAGGUGAUAUGUGGUUGUCUCACCUAGAUAUGGAUGGAAACCUAGUUUCUGAAGGUGAUAUGGAUGGAAACCUAGUUUCUGAAGGUGAUAUGUGGUUGUCUCACCUAGAUAUGGAUGGAAACCUAGUUUAUGAAGGUGAUAUGGAUGGAAACCUAGUUUCUGAAGGUGAUAUGGAUGGAAACCUAGUUUAUGAAGGUGAUAUGGAUGGAAACCUAGUUUCUGAAGGUGAUAUGGAUGGAAACCUAGUUUCUGAAGGUGAUAUGGAUGGAAACCUAGUUUCUGAAGGUGAUAUGGAUGGAAACCUAGUUUAUGAAGGUGAUAUGGAUGGAAACCUAGUUUCUGAAGGUGAUAUGUGGUUGUCUCACCUAGAUAUGGAUGGAAACCUAGUUUCUGAAGGUGAUAUGUGGUUGUCUCACCUAGAUAUGGAUGGAAACCUAGUUUCUGAAGGUGAUAUGUGGUUGUCUCACCUAGAUAUGGAUGGAAACCUAGUUUCUGAAGGUGAUAUGUGGUUGUCUCACCUAGAUAUGGAUGGAAACCUAGUUUGUGAAGGAGAUAUGUGGUUGUCUCACCUAGAUAUGGAUGGAAACCUAGUUUAUGAAGGUGAUAUGUGGUUGUCUCACCUAGAUAUGGAUGGAAACCUAGUUUCUGAAGGUGAUAUGUGGUUGUCUCACCUAGAUAUGAAUGGAAACCUAGUUUCUGAAGGUGAUAUGUGGUUGUCUCACCUAGAUAUGGAUGGAAACCUAGUUUGUGAAGGAGAUAUGUGGUUGUCUCACCUAGAUAUGGAUGGAAACCUAGUUUAUGAAGGUGAUAUGUGGUUGUCUCACCUAGAUAUGGAUGGAAACCUAGUUUAUGAAGGUGAUAUGUGGUUGUCUCACCUAGAUAUGGAUGGAAACCUAGUUUCUGAAGGUGAUAUGUGGUUGUCUCACCUAGAUAUGGAUGGAAACCUAGUUUAUGAAGGUGAUAUGUGGUUGACUCACCUAGAUAUGGAUGGAAACCUAGCUUAUGAAGGUGAUAUGUGGUUGUCUCACCUAGAUAAGGAUGGACACCUAGUUUCUGAAGGUGAUAUGUCGUUGUCUCACCUAGAUAUGGAUGGAAACCUAGUUUAUGAAGGUGAUAUGUGGUUGUCUCACCUAGAUAUGGAUGGAAACCUAGUUUAUGAAGGUGAUAUGUGGUUGUCUCACCUAGAUAUGGAUGGAAACCUAGUUUAUGAAGGUGAUAUGUGGUUGUCUCACCUAGAUAUGGAUGGAAACCUAGUUUGUGAAGGUGAUAUGUGGUUGUCUCACCUAGAUAUGGAUGGAAACCUAGUUUAUGAAGGUGAUAUGUGGUUGUCUCACCUAGAUAUGGAUGGAAACCUAGUUUAUGAAGGUGAUAUGUGGUUGUCUCACCUAGAUAUGGAUGGAAACCUAGUUUAUGAAGGUGAUAUGUGGUUGUCUCACCUAGAUAUGGAUGGAAACCUAGUUUAUGAAGGUGAUAUGGAUGGAAACCUAGUUUAUGAAGGUGAUAUGUGGUUGUCUCACCUAGAUGUCUGUAAGUCGCUCUGGAUAAGUGUGUCUGCUACUGUAAAUAACUAACAUGGAGAUCUGUCUUUACAAUGAAGGAAUGGCUGCACAAUCUGCAAAGUGCUAG
rnacentral:lncRNA from 1 species